GAUGAACGCUGGCGGCGUGCCUAAUACAUGCAAGUCGAGCGAACAGACGAGGAGCUUGCUCCUCUGACGUUAGCGGCGGACGGGUGAGUAACACGUGGAUAACCUACCUAUAAGACUGGGAUAACUUCGGGAAACCGGAGCUAAUACCGGAUAAUAUAUUGAACCGCAUGGUUCAAUAGUGAAAGACGGUUUUGCUGUCACUUAUAGAUGGAUCCGCGCCGCAUUAGCUAGUUGGUAAGGUAACGGCUUACCAAGGCAACGAUGCGUAGCCGACCUGAGAGGGUGAUCGGCCACACUGGAACUGAGACACGGUCCAGACCCCUACGGGAGGCAGCAGUAGGGAAUCUUCCGCAAUGGGCGAAAGCCUGACGGAGCAACGCCGCGUGAGUGAUGAAGGUCUUCGGAUCGUAAAACUCUGUUAUUAGGGAAGAACAAAUGUGUAAGUAACUAUGCACGUCUUGACGGUACCGAAUCAGAAAGCCACGGCUAACUACGU
rnacentral:rRNA from 1 species